AUACGUAGGGUGCAAGCGUUAAUCGGAAUUACUGGGCGUAAAGCGUGCGCAGGCGGUUUUGUAAGACAGAGGUGAAAUCCCCGGGCUCAACCUGGGAACCGCCUUUGUUACUGCAAGGCUAGAGUACCGCAGAGGGGGAUGGAAUUCCCCGUGUAGCAGUGAAAUGCGUAGAUAUGCGGAGGAACACCGAUGGCGAAGGCAAGCCCCUGGGCCUGUACUGACGCUCAUGCACUAAAGCGUGGGGAGCAAACAGGAUUAGAUUCCCUGGUAGUCCACGCCCUAAACGAUGUCAACUGGUUGUUGGGUCUUCAUUGACGCAGUAACGAAGCUAACGCGUGAAGUUGACCGCCUGGGGAGUACGGCCGCAAGGUUGAAACUCAAAGGAAUUGACGGGG
rnacentral:rRNA from 1 species